AACCUAGCACACCUGCGGUGUGUACCUGCGGAGGGAUCAUUACCGAGUUUACAAACUCCCAACCCUUUGUGAACCUUACCAUAUUGUUGCUUCGGCGGGACCGCCCCGGCGCCUUCGGGCCCGGAACCAGGCGCCCGCCGGAGGCCCCAAACUCUUAUGUCUUUAGUGGUUUUCUCCUCUGAGUGACACAUAAACAAAUAAAUAAAAACUUUUAACAAUGGAUCUCAGAUCGGAAGAGCA
rnacentral:misc_RNA from 1 species